GUGAACGCUGGCGGCGUGCUUAAGACAUGCAAGUCGAACGGUCUUUUCGGCGACAGUGGCGCACGGGUGAGUAACACGUAACUGACCUGCCCCAAAGUCGCGGAUAACUGGGUGAAAGUCCAGCUAAUACGUGAUGUGCUGUCAGAUUUUGUUCUGCCAGUAAAGGUUUACUGCUUUGGGAUGGGGUUGCGUUCCAUCAGCUAGUUGGCGGGGUAAAGGCCCACCAAGGCGACGACGGAUAGCCGGCCUGAGAGGGUGGCCGGCCACAGGGGCACUGAGACACGGGUCCCACUCCUACGGGAGGCAGCAGUUAGGAAUCUUCCACAAUGGGCGAAAGCCUGAUGGAGCGACGCCGCGUGAGGGAUGAAGGUUCUCGGAUCGUAAACCUCUGAACUAGGGACGAAAGACGCGAAAGCGGGAUGACGGUACCUAGGUAAUAGCACCGGCUAACUCCGU
rnacentral:rRNA from 1 species